UAGUGGGGUGUGCUGUUUACAGAUUGGCUGUGUACAUUCAGGCACAGUGAUUGAUAAAGGAAGUGUUGGCUUUGGGGAUGACCAGUGAAAUAUACCUGCUGGAGCACUUGCUACCGGUGGGUGUUGCAUACACACCCACACACAGGUCCAGAGGAAGAGAGACAGAGAGAGCCUGAGAUUUCAUUAAAGGGCUUCCAAAUCCACAGCUCGUAAUUUGAUGCAACCAGAGGGCAGAGGAAGAGAGACAGAAGACCAGAGGAAGAGCUGUCAUUAGUUGAAGGAAUCUUGGAGUGUUAUGAUUCAAACAAACUGAGGAGCUAUUUUCUGCAAGGACAGCACGUACGGUGAUAGCAACUCCGACUGGGAGCCCCCGGGCCAAGCUGCCCGCUCUACCCCUGCCCCCAGUGGUGUUCAUAUGCCACAGUUCAUUACCGCAGGCAUGACUGUGCCUCAGGGCCAAAAGGGCACAGUAUGGAGGCGUCGUUGUGUUCUGUGUCGCAUGAAAUGCACCACUUGUUCAGUUUGCCUCUGCUUUACAUCAGAAAGAGACUUGGCACAGGCAGCAAAAUAUUGUGACGAGGACUUCCAAAGGGUGUACUGUUUUUAAAAAAAUAUUUA